CCUACGGGGGGCAGCAGCUAAGAAUAUUCCGCAAUGGACGAAAGUCUGACGGAGCAACGCCGCGUGGAUGAUGAAGGUCGGAAGAUUGUAAAAUCCUUUUAUUAUUGAAGAAUAAGCCAUGCAGGGAAUGGUAUGGUGGUGACAGUAGGUAAUGAAUAAGCACCGGCUAAUUACGUGCCAGCAGCCGCGGUAACACGUAAGGUGCGAGCGUUAUUCGGAAUUAUUGGGCGUAAAGGGCACGCAGGCGGUUUUGCAAGCUUGGUGUGAAAUGCUGGGGCUUAACCCCAGAACUGCAUUGAGAACUGCAUGACUAGAGUCAGUGAGGGGAAAUCGGAAUUCCAGGUGUAGGGGUGAAAUCUGUAGAUAUCUGGAAGAACACCAAUGGCGAAGGCAGAUUUCCAGCGCAUGACUGACGCUCAGGUGCGAAGGUGCGGGGAUCAAACAGGAUUAGAUACCCUUGUAGUC
rnacentral:rRNA from 1 species